GCUCCCAUCUCCUGAGCUGAACCGAGCCCGCCCCGGGCCGGGCUGUGCUGAAUCAACCCCCUACUCGGGUCACACCGAACACCUGGGCUGGGCCGCUAGACAGGUACCGACCCGAAAUCCCUGGGCUGAGCUCUGCUGCUGACCUGGCACCGAAUCGGACCCCGGGGCUGUGCCGCCGACCAGGUACCGACCCUGAACCAAAGCCUUGGCCGGACACUGAACCCCUCAGCCGUGGGCCAGACUGCUGUCCUGGUGCUGACCCGAACUGAAUCCCCCCGCUAGGCUGGGCUGCUGGCCAAGUACCGACCGAACUGAACUUCCUGCCCCGGGCAGGGCUGGCGUUCAGGCAGAGGCGGCCAGAACGGAGGGACUCCGCUGGUACCCUCAUAUUUCCCCACCUGGUGAGUGCUUCCCGCUGCUCAGCUCUGCGCCGCUCAGCAGGAGGCUUACAGGCCUGAAGUCUGACCCUCGCCAGUUCAUAAGGCUCCUUCUCCAAGGGCACCCCUAGGCCUCAGAAACAGCUGAUCCUGGCCUGUGCACUGCUAGAAUGCAGGGCUCUGAGCUGCUUCCCUGUCAGCAGGGGGAGCCCUGCCAUGCCUGCCCUGGCAGGGGGUCACCCCAGUGGUGGCUCUUGUGUCCAGGCACUGCAGUGGGGCUUAUGGGUUGGCGUGCCCACCGGCAGUGUCCAUCCCCACAGGAUCUGUGUGCAUGUGUGGAACCUGCCAGAGGACUCCAGCUGUCCUUUCCCACUCUGACCCUGGUCCGUCCACUGCUCUCUAGGCCUCUUAGCUGCAGGAGCCAAGCCUCAGGUGUCUGGGGCUUGCCCCAAAGCUCUAUGGCACCUGCUCUCUUGUCACCCUUCUGUAGGGACAGCUCAAGCAAUGAGGCUGUGAAGACGCACCAAGAAUGAGGCGUGGACGGAUACACUGGUGAGCAGGGGCAUACCUGGGACAGCUCCACCCAUGGACUCCAGCGCUUCCAGCCAGGGAAACUGGCUUUGCACCUUCACUGUGUGGGAGAUUGCAGCCAUGUCAUCUAUGGGCUAGCUCUUGGCCAGCAGGGAGCUAUACAGCCAGCUGGCCUGUGCCCAUCCCAGCUGGACUCUGCACAGUCACUCAGGCAGGGCAAGCUGCCAUGUCACCCCUGUGGUCACUUCUGGGGGCAUCUCCACUGCCCCAAAAGCACAUCAGCCCUUCCCCAUACCUGCUCCAGACAAAACAGGCCCCUGUAGCGGCCAUAGGCCUGUGUAUAGGGGGGUGGUGUAUAGUCAGUGCCUCAGUUGUCCUCGUGCCCAGCUUAAAUCCUCCCCAAGCACAUGCCUCUGAACGCCUCCCUCCAACUCUUGUCCACUGCUACCCCCACCACUGAUGAGCCAAAAUCCUUCCCGUCCCCCAGCCCCUUCCUGGGAAAAUUGCCUGAACCCCCUGUUUCCCUGCUGCCAAGCCUUUUCCUCUUCCCUCAGGGACUAUGCGACUCAUGCACCUGUACCACUUGCUGCCCUAGUGGGCAAGGUUGGAGGUCAUGCUCCCUGCUGCUAGAAUUCCUGUGCUCCCUGUGACCCUGGGGCAACUACAGCUGUUCUUCAGAGGGGCAGGAUUCUGCUCCUGGGCACAGGGGAGAUGCAGGGCAGGAUGGCAGCGCUGUCCCACUAGUUACAUGGUGUGGGAGCAGAGAGCUGAGCUGAGCUGCCCAUCUGCCUGGGAUUAGGUGGUGUGGAGGGCCUUUGGGCAGCACCAGGCUGCUCUUGCCCUGCACCGUGUCUCAUAGCAGUGUUGGAAUGAUAGCCUACUGGCACCUGAGCAGCAACGCACUGUACGUGCCAUCUGCCUGGGCCAGGUGAGGCCUUCCUAGGCCAGUGGCUCUGCCAAGGUGCCAGCCCUUAGGAUCAGAGCAGGAACAGCAUGCCCAUGGCAAACCCAGCCUAGGGGCCAGGGUGCCCUUAGAGCAGUAGGAAUAGCUGGCCCCAGGUACUUCCAGCCCCACCUGCAGUGAGCGAGUGUAUCUCGAAGCCCAGGAGGGGGCAGGGCUCAGAGGCAGCACGUGGCUAAUGCCCUGGCAGGCACAGGGUGGCACAACUGGGCUUGGAGCCUGGACUGUACUGCAGGCCAGGCCCUUAGUCCCAGGGCCACCUACCAUCCUUCUGGUACCUGCUGGCUGGAUUAAUCCCUCUGCUGUGA